GACGAACGCUGGCGGCGUGCUUAACACAUGCAAGUCGAACGAAGUGGCGAACGGGUGAGUAACGCGUAAUCAACCUGCCCUUCAGAGGGGGACAACAGUUGGACACGACUGCUAAUACCGCAAACUGUAGGUGGAGAUUGCGUCGGAUUAGCUAGUUGGAGGGGUAACGGCCCACCAAGGCGCUGAUCAGUAGCCGGUCUUGGAGGAUGAACGGCCCCAUUGGGACUGAGAAACGGCCCAGAAUUCUACGGGAGGCAGCAGUGGGGAAUCUUCCGGAAUGGACGAAAGUCUGACGGCGCAAAGCCGCGGGAGGGAUGACGGCCUUCGGGUUGUAAAGCUCUGUUAAUCGGGACGCGGUACCGGAAUAGAAAGCCACGGCUAACUACGUGCCAGCAGCCGCGGUAAUUC
rnacentral:rRNA from 1 species